rnacentral:lncRNA from 1 species
UUUGUACGACGUUAGGGCCGGCGUUCAACCAUACAAGCAAACGGGCUCUCCGAACAGACAGCAUGAUCAGGAUGGCCGAUGGACCAUAAGAAAAUGAGAGCAUAAGUUGCCAUCACCAAGAUCGACUUCUGAUUAAAUAACGCCCAAGUGUUCAUCGUUCUCAUUUCUCAUGGAGCAACACACAGGCUACAUCCAGGACAUGAAGCAAGCGGGCAGAUCAGACCAUUUCCCCCCAGAGAUCAUUGUAAUUUACACCAUGAUGUCACAAUUUGAACCACGCAUUGUGUGUGCAGUUCACUGCAGUUGCCUUGAUGGCUACAACUCGCAGGUAGCGAGCGCCGACGCCUCACUUGCCGGGAACAAAGUUUGUGGCAAACGCCCAUGCGUUGUUGUUGACAGGGUCAGAGAGGUGGUCGGCGAGGUUCUCGAGUGGGCCCUUGCCGGUGACGAUGGCCUGCACGAAGAAGCCAAACAUAGAGAACAUGGCAAGGCGUCCGUUCUUGACUUCCUUCACCUUGAGCUCCGCGAAUGCCUCUGGAUCGUCAGCCAGGCCUAGUGGGUCAAAGCUGCCGCCAGGGUAGAGUGGGUCGACUAUCUCACCAAGUGGGCCGCCGGCAACGCGGUACCCUUCAACGGCACCCAUGAGCACGACUUGGCAUGCCCAGAUAGCAAGGAUGCUCUGUGCAUGCACGAGGCUGGGGUUGCCGAGGUAGUCAAGGCCACCCUCGCUGAAGAUCUGGGAACCGGCCUUGAACCAUACGGCCUCACCGAACUUGACGCCGUUGCGUGCAAGAAGCUCGGGGAAGACGCAUCCGAGCGCACCAAGCAUGGCCCACCGGCAGUGGAUCACCUCGAGCUCCCGGUUCUUGGCAAAGGUCUCAGGAUCGGCCGAUAGCCCGGCGGUGUCCCACCCAUAGUCGCCGGGGAACUCGCCAGUCAAGUAGCUCGGGGGCUCUCCAGAAAGCGGGCCGAGGUAGAGCACACGGUCAGCACCGUACCACGGGCUGCCUGAUGAAACUGGCUUGGCCUUUGCAGCGGUCUUGCGCAUAGUGACACGGGCCUCACCAAAGAGAGCUGAUGAAGCCACGUUCUUCACUGACUCGCCGGCUAAGGCCGAGGAGAGGGACAUGGUGGUAGUCGCCAUUGCGCUGCUAAGGCGGGAGGUGUAUUGUGUGUUCCAAACAGUGAAAACUGAAGAGUGAGUGUGGAGAUGGUUUGAGACGAGUGGAGGAUGGAGCUAUUUAAGGAACUGAUUGAGCUCUGGUCUGUGUGUACCGACAAGAUAGAUAUAGACAGGAAAAAAAUCUUUGAUCUUCGAUGCUAUUCGUGCAGCAGUGAUCUCGUCAUCCCUCAGGACGUGGCAACUUGAGACCCAGAGAAAGGAGAUAUGUUGUGGCUAGGCCUAGGAUCUUGAUGGAGAAUGGAGACGUGUGAUUGGACGAUGGAUCACAUGUUGAUUCUCACAUCAUCAGCUCACGGUCUGCAUGCAACGAGAUAGUAAACUUGUCUCUGAUGAAGUGGGUAGCCCAAGUGUGGUCAAGAAAGUGAUGGCAAUUUUAGGCCAUACGAUGAUUACUUCGUAGAUAUUUAUUGAAACCGUACUGAAGUUUGGUAUUUACCGAGACCGAACCUUAGUCAUAACUUCGUAUUUUGGUCCCUGGCACGUCCGACCGACAAUGUUCGACAAGCUUUGACGCCGUCAGUGACUUUGUGAGGUUACGUCUCCCUGGAUUUUGGGUGCCCGUCUUCUUUUCUCUGGGACGGCGAUUUGCGUUUCAGAUCAUCGUCGCCAGUGUCUUCUAGCUCCGAUCAACGACUUCCGGCUACCGCCUCAACAACGUUUUCCUGACUCGAUGGUGUUUGGUGGUCCAUAGGUGGUAUUGAGUUUCGCUCACUGCGCGUUGUUGACGAGUGCAGGAGGAAGGUGGUGUGGAUUUUCCCAAGAACCUAUGUGUAAUUUUAAAUUUCUACAAGAAUGACUUUGUAAGGGUCAAUUGAUUUCAAUACAUGACCGUCGCCUUUUGGAAAAAAAAUAAGAUCUUAUUUAUCGACUUAACCAAAUGCGCAGCCCUGCUGGCAAACACAGAGCCGGGCAUUUCUCCGUAAAAAAGAAAGAAUAAAAAGAGAGAGCCGGACAUUUUGUAGAACUUAAAUAAUCCCCGAAAAACCCUGGUUUCAAAGAUGACACUAGAGGGACAGCGCUUCGCCGCGCCCGGCGUUAGGUGCAUAAUUUGUAGUAGAUUUUAGGCGGGUCUCCAAUGUAGAGUUGUUGAGUUGCUAAGGCCCGCAUAUGUAGGCGUCAAAUCUUUCUUUUUCUGCUGAUGUCUCAAGCGCGUUCAGUCAAUCGUGGAGUGGAGACUGAUUCUUGGUUAAGUUAUCCAUGUCUUUCAGCCAUGAUAGCCCAACAAAGAGGCCUAAAUACACGAACAUCACAGAAAGAUGAACAACCACUGAAAAAUGAAGCACAAUCUGGCAGACAAACAACAAUAUUCAGAACAUAUGUGAAGGAGCAUCAGAGUUAGUUCAGUAAACAUCCAUAAGCAAACAUCUCCCCAAAUGUGAAGCAUACAUAUACAAAUCCAAAAGGACCAGUGAUCCCAUAGCAAGCACAUUGCAGCUGCAAAAUCAAUGAGAACUGCUAUACAGACGACAUUCACAGAUGAUUUCAGCAUGACACUCCAUCUCACACCAUCCAUUCAAGACGCCAAUGUACAGAAAGUUGUUGGAUUUGACAUCGGCUCAGGAUCGUGCAAGCAAAUGUCUGUGAAGUAGUUUCGAAAUCAAUCAACCAACAGUGGGCCCAUACUGCAGUAGGGCCACUCCACAGGGGCCAAAACACACCACGGGUCUACACAAACAGGAAGCAGCAUCAAACGGGCUCUCCGAACAGACAGCAUGAUCAUGAUGGUCGAUGGGCCAUAAGAAAAUGAGAGCAUAAGUUGCCAUCACCAAGAGCAACUUCUGAUUAAAUAACGGCCAAGUAUUUAUCGUUCUCAAUUUCUCAUGGAAAAACAAAUAGCCCAAAUUUUAUCGUUCUCAUUUCUCAUGGAGCAACGCACAGGCUACAUCCAGGACAUGAAACAAGCGGGCAGAUCAAACCAUUUCCCCAACGAUCCUUGUAAUUUACACCAUGAUGUUACAAUUUGAACCACAUAUUAUGUGUGCAGUUCACCGCAGUUUCCUUGAUGGGUACAACUCGCAGCUAGCGAGCGCCAACGCCUCACUUGCCGGGAACAAAGUUUGUGGCAAACGCCCAUGCGUUGUUGUUGACGGGGUCGGAGAGGUGGUCAGCAAGGUUCUCGAGUGGGCCCUUACCGGUGACAAUGGCCUGCACGAAGAAGCCAAACAUAGAGAACAUGGCGAGGCGGCCGUUCUUGACUUCCUUCACCUUGAGCUCUGCAAAUGCCUCGGGGUCAUCAGCCAGGCCCAACGGGUCGAAGCUGCCACCAGGGUAGAGUGGGUCGACUAUCUCACCAAGUGGGCCCCCGGCAACGCGGUACCCCUCAACGGCACCCAUGAGCACGACUUGGCAUGCCCAAAUAGCAAGGAUGCUCUGUGCAUGCACGAGGCUGGGGUUGCCCAGGUAGUCGAGGCCACCCUCGCUGAAGAUUUGGGAGCCGGCCUUGAACCACACGGCCUCACCGAACUUAACACCAUUGCGUGCAAGAAGCUCGGGGAAGACGCAUCCGAGCGCACCGAGCAUGGCCCACCGGCAGUGGAUCACCUCGAGCUCCCGGUUCUUGGCAAAGGUCUCGGGGUCGGCCGAGAGCCCCGCGGUGUCCCACCCGUAGUCGCCGGGGAACUCGCCGGUCAAGUAGCUCGGAGGGUCGCCGGAAAGCGGGCCGAGGUAGAGCACACGGUCGGCACCGUACCAUGGGCUGCCUGAUGAAACCUGCUUGGCCUUUGCAGCGGUCUUGCGCAUAGUGACACGGGCCUCACCAAAGAGAGCUGAUGAAGCCACGUUCUUCACCGACUUGCCGGCGAAGGUCGAGGAGAGGGACAUGGUGGUGGUCGCCAUUGCGCUGCUAAGGCGGAAUGUGUAUUGUGUGUUCCAAACAGUGAAAACUGAAGAGUGGGUGUGGAGAUGGUUUGAGACGAGUGGAGGAUGGAGCUAUUUAAGGAACUGGAGGGGUUGAGGCAUUGAGCUCUGGUCUGUUUGUACCGACAAGAUUGAUAUAGACAGGAAAAAAUCUUGACCUUCGAUGCUAUUGGUGCAGUAGAGAUCUCGUCAUCCCUCAGGACGUGGCAACGUGAGACCCAAAGAAAGGAGAUAUGUUGUGGCUAGGCCUAGGAUCUUGUUGGAGAUUGGAGAUGUAUGAUUGGAUGAUGGAUCACAUGUUGAUUCUCACAUCAUCACGGUCUGCAUGCAACGAGAAAAUAAACUUGUUUCUGAUGAAGUAGGUAGCGCAAGUGUGGUCAAGAAAGUGAUGGCAAUUUUAGGCCAUACGAUGAUUACUAGAGAUUAUUGAAACCUUCCUGAAGUUUGGUAUUUACCGAGACCAAACCUUAGUCAUAACUUCGUGGUUUGGUCCAUGGCACGUCCGACCAACAAUGUUCGACAAGCUUUGACGCCAUCAGUGACUUUGUGAGGUUAUGUCUCCUGGAUUUUGGAUGGCCGUCUUCUUUUCUCUGGGACGGCAAUUUGUGUUUUAGAUCAUCAUUGGCAGCAUCUUCUAGCUUCGAUCGACGACUUCCAGCUGCCGCAUCAACAACAUUUGUCUGACUCCGAUGGUGUUUUGCUGGUCCAUAGGCAGUAUCUAGUUCCGCUCACGGCGCGUCGUCGACGAGUGUAGGAGAAAGGUGGUGUGGAUUUUCCCAAAAACCUAUGUUUAAUUUUAAAUUUUUACAAGAAUGACUUUGUAAGGGUCAAUUGUUUUCAAUACAUGACCUUCGUCUUUUGGAAAAAAUAAGAUACGACUUAACCAAAUUAAAUGCGCAGCCCAAAGACAGAGCGGGGCAUUUCUCCGUAAAAAAAUAAAGAAUAAAAAGAGAGAGCCGGACAUUUUGUAACACUUAAAUGAUCCCCCGAAAAACCCUGGUUUCAAAGAUGAUACUAGAGGGGACGCCGCGCUUCGCCGCGCCCGGCGUUAGGUGCAUAAUUUGUAGGAGAUUUUAGGCGGGCCUGCCCAUGUAGAGUUGUUGAGUUGCUAAGAGCAUCUCCAGCCGUUGGCCCCCCAGGGGGCGCCUAAAAUUGCCGCCUGGGGGUGACCCAGCGAAAAAAAUGGGCCUGGGGGCGAGUUGGCCCCCAGCCGCCGCCCCCAGGGCCGGCCCCAGACGCGGGGAAAAAAAUUGUGUAGCAAAUUUACGCAAAGUUCGGCUAAAACACGCCAAAUUUCGGCAAACUUGGACUUAUAUUCGCGGAUUUAAGUCGAGUAGUCGCCAUUACAUAUAAAAACUAAUAAAAAAAACUUGCUGAAGGCCGAGAAGUCGCCGUCGUCGCCACCAUCGUCGGCCUUCUCCUCCUUGACUCAGGCGCCCCUGCUGGACCCCUCCCCGGCUGGUGGCGGCGGCGGCGCGUCGUCGUCGUCGUCGCUGUCGUCGAUGAUGACGACUCCUCCUUCGUCACGGCCUCGGCGGCGCUGCUCGAAGCGCCGCAGGGCGGCGCGCUGGUGCUCUGUCGCCAUCUUGAUGGAGUCCUGGCGUGCCCAUUCAAGGGCCGCGUCGUCGUCGAGCUCGACCUCGCCGUGCUCCGUCUUCACUGGCGCCAGCCCCGGCUCCGUCUUUGGCUUGACGAAGCGCGGAGGAGGAGCCGACGAGGAGGCGCGCCGGCCGCCCUCGUUGAUGACGAUGCCGGGCUCGGCCUUGACGCCGAGCAGCGUCGGAGUGCCGGAGGAGUGGGAAGAGGAGCGGGAGGACGAAGAGGAGGAGGACGCACCGAACCUCCUUGGCGCCCAUUGCCCGUCGCGUCGGUGGUGCGCCGGGGCGGCCGCCCUCGCCGGGGGGUACGCCAACGGCGGGUUGUUGCCGCCCUCGAGGUGCGUCAGCACGCCCUGAAGUGUGCGGCCGGGGGCGCCCCACCACAGGUGGCGCCCCUCGCUGUUCUUCACGCCGCCGACCACCGGCGCCCCAUUGGUGGACGCCAGCCGCUGCUGCUGGCGACGCUCGAAGUACGCCGCCCAAGCCGCGUGGUUGUCGGCGGCGUACUGGGGGAGGGAGAGCUCGGCGUCGGUGAGGGAGGCGCGCACGAUCUCGACCUCGUCGGCGAAGUAGGAUGGUUUGGCCACGGCGUCGGGCAACGGGGGAAUGGGCACUCCCCCAUUGCUGAGCCUCCAGCCCGUCGGCCCGGCGCGCAUGUCCGGCGGCGCCGGGAUGUUCGCCUGGAACAGGAGCCAGGACUCCUGUUCGCGGAGCGAACGGCGGCCGAAGCCGUUGGUCGCCGCCUCGUCUCCGGGGAAACGCUCGGCCAUCGGGGAGAUGGAGUGGCUGAGGAGAAGAGAUCAGCGGCGGCGCUCGGGAGAUGGAGUGGCUGGGGGAGAAGAAGAGAUCGGCGGCGGCGCUCGGGAGAGGGAGGGAUGGGGGAGAAGAGCUCGGCGGCGGCGCUCGGGAGAGGUGGAGAGGUGGCACUCAUCACAGGCGAGCGAGGCCAUAUAUAGCCGCGCCGCGUCCGUGUGUACGCGUCCGUGGGAGGGGAGGCGUCGGCACGCCGCCCCGUGAACGCGCCGCCCGUGAGGAAUCAAUGGCAAAGCUGACCGGCGGCAGCCUUGCCAUUGAUUCCCCGCGGGAAACCGAGGCGUCGGGAGAAGACGAGGCGGGCGGUGUCGCUGACACGGCCGGCCCGCAGCGCUUUCGCGCCAAAAACGAUUCGCCCGGCGCCCCCAGCGCGCCGGUUCGGGUUGGGUCCGCCGGCGCCAAUUUCAGCCCGAGCUGGCAAAAAAGGGCCCCUGGGGACGUGACUGGGCCGAUUUUUUGGCGCCGGUGGCCGAAAAAUCGCCUGGGGGGCCUUGUUGGGGGCGCGGCUGGAGAUGCUCUAAGGCCCGCGUAUGUAGGCGUCAAAUCUUUCUUUUUCUCCUGAUGUCUCACGCACGUUCAGUCAAUCGUGGAGUGGAGACUGAUUUGUGGUUAAGUUGUCCAUCUCUUUCAGCCAUGACAGCCCAACAAAGAGGCCUAAAUACACGAACAUCAAGAAAGAUGAACAACCACUGAAAAAUAAAGCACAAUCUGGCAGACAAACAACAAUAUUCAGAACAUAUGUGAAGGAGCAUCAGAGUUAGUUCAGUAAACAUCCAUAAGCAAACAUCUCCCCAAAUGUGAAGCAUACAUAUACAAAUCCAAAAGUAGGACCACUGAUCCCAUAGCAAGCACAUUGCAGCUGCAAAAUCAAUCAAACAACUCUCAAACUGAGCAUCCCAACCUAAACACCUGCAUACAUGCCUGCUCCUCAAAAUCCCGAACAAAAUACAAAGGAAAGCACAGGAGGCCAAAUGUCAGCAGAGACGUCGCCAACAGAUGAUGCAUUGAACCCACACAGAAGAAGAGCAACCAGCAACACGCGAAGGGCACGGCCACGGCCACCAAGGCGGCGGGCAGAGCCACAACGGCGGCAGCAGGUGACCCCAAAUCAAGGAGCACUCACCACAAAGCAAGCCUCUCACGAACACGGAAGUUCACGGCAGAAAACAAACCCCAAAUCAAGGAACACCGACCAACAAAAAAAAAUGGCCCAUACUACUUCCUCAAAAAAAAAAAAUGGCCCAUACUACAGUAGGGCCACUCCACAGGGGCCAAAACACACCACGGGGCCACACAAACAGGAAGCAUCAUCAAACGGGCUCUCCGAACAGAGACAACAUGAUCAUGAUGGUCGAUGGACCAUAAGAAAAUGAGAGCAUAAGUUGCCAUCACCAAGAGCGACUUCUGAUUAAAUAACGGCCAAGUAUUUAUCGUUCUCCAUUUCUAAUGGAAAAACAAAUAGCCCAAGUAUUCAUCGUUCUCAUUUCUCAUGGAGCAACACACAGGCUACAUCCAGGACAUGAAGCAAGCGGGCAGAUCAAACCAUUUCCCCAACGAUCCUUGUAAUUUACACCAUGAUGUUACAAUUUGAACCACACAUUAUGUGUGCAGUUCUCCGCAGUUGCCUUGAUGGCUACAACUCGCAGCUAGCGAGCGCCGACUCCUCACUUGCCGGGAACAAAGUUUGUGGCAAACGCCCAUGCGUUGUUGUUGACAGGGUCGAAGAG